UACGUAGGGUGCGAGCGUUGUCCGGAAUUACUGGGCGUAAAGAGCUUGUAGGUGGUUUGUCGCGUUGUUCGUGAAAUCUCACGGCUCAACUGUGAGCGUGCGGGCGAUACGGGCAGACUAGAGUACUGCAGGGGAGACUGGAAUUCCUGGUGUAGCGGUGGAAUGCGCAGAUAUCAGGAGGAACACCGGUGGCGAAGGCGGGUCUCUGGGCAGUAACUGACGCUGAGGCACGAAGGCCAGGGGAGCGAAUGGG
rnacentral:rRNA from 1 species